CUCUCUGGAUUUGUCAAAGUCAACAGUUAUUCUUUUGCAGUAUAACUUGAUCAUUUCUUACAAAACUGUCACGAUCCGCCGGCCGUGACCCUGGCCUCCUUCAUGGUAUGUGCGUGAAUGUAGUUUUUGUGUUCUUUUUCUCCCUUUUGGUGUGCCUGCUGUGUGCUUGGUGUGUUUUGGUUUGGCAUCCGUCUCUGUGUUUUGCUCUCUCCCUCAUGCUCUGGAAGCCACUGGUGGGCGUGGUCGCUGGAGCUCCUGCCUACAAACCUGCGGCUCAUCACACCACUCCAGCACACCUGUUCCUCAUCCUACAAUCAACUCACCUUUAUAAGCCAGGCCGACCUUCCAUUCCCUGCUGGAUUGUUGAAUCAGCUAACCAUCUUACCCUGAGCCUUGACCCAGUUCUGCCUGCCAGCACCGCAAGACCUAGCACUGGAGCUCGGACCCCAUUCCCACUCUCUGACUCAUCAGAAUCUCCAGCCACUCAAACCACGUUCUGUUUGUGCAACUCAAAUAAAUUCACCUUUAUUGAAACUUCAA